rnacentral:tmRNA from 1 species
GGGGGCGACCAGGCUUCGACGUGGGUUACAAAACCUGAGGUGCAUGCCGAGAUGCAGAAUCUCGUAAAUCAGCUGCAAAAAAAUAUAGUUGCCAACGACGACAACUACGCACUAGCUGCUUAAACACCAGCUUUAGUGCCUUCGGCCUGAUAUGUGCUUGUGCGUUCAGAUCACCGGAGUCAUCCCACACAAGAUCGCGCUGAAAUACGUCCGGGAUGGAUGCGCUAAAACCUAACGGAAUCGCUGCUAGUGUUCCCUGCCUGUUGGGCAGCUAACAGUUAAACUUAAGAACAGGAUAAGCAUGUAGAGCCAACGGCAGAGGAUUUGCGGACGCGGGUUCGAUUCCCGCCGCCUCCACCA